UACGUAGGGUCCGAGCGUUGUCCGGAGUUAUUGGGCGUAAAGGGCUCGUAGGCGGUUAGUCGCGUCGGGAGUGAAAACUCAGGGCUCAACCCUGAGCGUGCUUCCGAUACGGGCUGACUAGAGGUAUGCAGGGGAGAACGGAAUUCCUGGUGUAGCGGUGGAAUGCGCAGAUAUCAGGAGGAACACCGGUGGCGAAGGCGGGUCUCUGGGCCGAUACUGACGCUGAGGAGCGAAAGCGUGGGGAGCAAACAGG
rnacentral:rRNA from 1 species